rnacentral:rRNA from 1 species
UUGAACGCUGGCGGCAGGCCUAACCCAUGCAAGUCGCACGGUAACAGGAAACAGCUUGCUGUUUCGCUGACGAGUGGCGGACGGGUGAGUAAUGUCUGGGAAACUGCCUGAUGGAGGGGGAUAACUACUGGAAACGGUAGCUAAUACCGCAUAACGUCGCAAGACCAAAGAGGGGGACCUUCGGGCCUCUUGCCAUCGGAUGUGCCCAGAUGGGAUUAGCUAGUAGGUGGGGUAACGGCUCACCUAGGCGACGAUCCCUAGCUGGUCUGAGAGGAUGACCAGCCACACUGGAACUGAGACACGGUCCAGACUCCUACGGGAGGCAGCAGUGGGGAAUAUUGCACAAUGGGCGCAAGCCUGAUGCAGCCAUGCCGCGUGUAUGAAGAAGGCCUUCGGGUUGUAAAGUACUUUCAGCGGGGAGGAAGGGAGUAAAGUUAAUACCUUUACUCAUUGACGUUACCCGCAGAAGAAGCACCGGCUAACUCCGUG